ensembl:lncRNA
CCACUUUAUAAUGGAAUCUUAUUAUCUAGGGAUAGAUAAACCACCAAUUCUAACUGACUUGAAUGUAAGAACUGUUUUGAUAGCACUAGUGUUAAUAUAGCUACCUGUUUUUUUUUUGCCCAGAUCUACAUGAAGCUCUUCAAGAAGUCCACACCAUAUGCAGGAUACCCAAGACAAGAUGAUCACAAACAGUGAAUGCUACAUAACUACUGUGAUACCAGGAGCAUUCUAUCUGCUUUUCUGGGCUCGAAAAUGGAAUAAAAAUAUCUUUGGCAAGGAGCUUGCUAAGUACUGUGAAGACAUUUCCAUGAGGCUCACUGGAUUAUUACUUGUGAAUUCUGAAUUAAAUACUGUGUUCCAAAGAUUAUUUUCUCUAUAGAUGCUCAAUGUUCUGAAGUUAGGGGAGAAAUUCCAC